CCCUUAGAUGUUCUGGGCCGCACGCGUGCUACAAUGGCAAAAUCAACGAGUAUACCUUUGUCGACAGACAUGGGAAAUCUUUUCAGUUCUUGCCGUGAUGGGGCUAGACCCUUGUAAUUGUUGGUCUCCAACGAGGAAUUCCUAGUAAACGCAAGUCAUUAUCUUGCAUUGAUUACGUCCCUGCCCUUUGUACACACCGCCCGUCGCACCUACCGAUUGAAUGUGUUGGUGAGGAGCUCGGAUUGGCAGCAGUUGGUGGUUCGCCACCGGCUAUUGCUGAGAAGUCCUCCAAACCGCCCCAUUUAGAGGAAGGAGAAGUCGUAACA
rnacentral:rRNA from 1 species